rnacentral:lncRNA from 1 species
CAGACCCCAGUUUCCUCUUCAGUCUUCGCCCCUCGCCUCCACAGUCCACAGAUGACAGAUCCAUUGUGCCCGUCGCCGCACGCCGCCGCACGUCCGGACGCCGAUGUCUACUGAUCACGUCUCCUGCCUGGCUGCCUCCACUUAACCACAGACAACUGCUACUCUGCUUUGGACUUUGGUAAAUAAAAGAAUAAAAAUUGAUUUUAUGUUAAUUUAGGUAUAAAUCAGUUAGCUUUUGACUGAAUUAGUGACAUGGAGUAUAGUUGUUAGUGUGCGGAGUAAUAAGGAUGGCGAAUUCGGGUUGGAACACAAAGAAAUGGCUAAAAAAUCUGAUUAUUAAAGUGGUGCACAUAACAUGUUCGCUAAAAAUCCUCUUAGGACUGUUUUUGCUAAAAACUAGGAAUUAAGCAAAGCCAAGACCCAAACUGUAUACAUAUAUGCUUUAUAUAGCUAAUUAAAGAGCUUGGGCAAAUCGAAUCAUGAAAAGGCAUUUUAAAAUCAAAAUAAAAAAUUAGUGUGUUCGGUUAAAAUUUUUUGCCUCCCCUAAAAAACUGCUCUGGUUCCGCCA